UACGGAAGGCAGCAGUGGGGAAUAUUGCACAAUGGGCGCAAGCCUGAUGCAGCCAUGCCGCGUGUAUGAAGAAGGCCUUCGGGUUGUAAAGUACUUUCAGUCGUGAGGAAGGUGUUAAGGUUAAUAACCUUAGCAAUUGACGUUAGCGACAGAAGAAGCACCGGCUAACUCCGUGCCAGCAGCCGCGGUAAUACGGAGGGUGCGAGCGUUAAUCGGAAUUACUGGGCGUAAAGGGCACGCAGGCGGUUAAUUAAGUUGGAUGUGAAAUCCCCGGGCUUAACCUGGGAAUGGCAUUCAAGACUGGUUAGCUAGAGUCUUGUAGAGGGGGUAGAAUUCCAUGUGUAGCGGUGAAAUGCGUAGAGAUGUGGAGGAAUACCGGUGGCGAAGGCGGCCCCUGGACAAAGGCUGACGCUCAUGUGCGAAAGCGUGGGGAGCAAACAGGAUUAGAUAC
rnacentral:rRNA from 1 species